UUUGCCAAAAUCAAAAGAGUUCAUUUUAUUUCUCAUUAAUGUACACUCAGCACCCCAUCUUGACAGAAAAAAACAGAAAUGUAGAAUUUUUUGCAAAUUUAUUAAAAAAGAAAAACUGAAAUAUCACAUGGUCAUAAGUAUUCAGACCCUUUGCAGUGACAUUCAUAUUUAACUCACAUGCUGUCCAUUUCUUCUGAUCCUCCUCGAGAUGGUUCUGCUUCUUUAUUGGAGUCCAGCUGUGUUUAAUUAAACUGAUUGGACUUGAUUAGGAAAGGCACACACCUGUCUAUAUAAGACCUUACAGCUCACAGUGCAUGUCAGAGCAAAUGAGAAUCAUGAGGUCGAAGGAACUGCCCACGGAGCUCAGAGACAGAAUUGUGGCAAGGCACAGAUCUGGCCAAGGUUACAAAAGAAUUUCUGCAGCACUCAAGGUUCCUAAGAGCACAGUGGCCUCCAUAAUCCUCAAAUGGAAGAAGUUUGGGACGACCACAACUCUUCCUAGACCUGGCCGUCCAGCCAAACUGAGCAAUGGUGGGAGAAGAGCCUUGGUGAGAGAGGUAAAGAAGAACCCAAAGAUCACUGUGGCUGAGCUCCAGAGAUGUAGUCGGGAGAUAGGAGAAAGUUCCACAAAGACUCCCAGACUAUGAGAAAUAAGAUUCUCUGGUCUGAUGAGACCAAGAUUGAACUUUUUGGUGUUAAUUCUAAGCGGUAUGUGUGGAGAAAACCAGGCACUGCUCAUCACCUGUCCAAUACAAUCCCUACAGUGAAACAUGGGGGUGGGAGCAUCAUGUUGUGGGGGUGUUUUUCAGCUGCAGGGACAGGACGACUGGUUGCAAUUGAAGGAAGGAUGAAUGUGGCCAAGUACAGAGAUAUCCUGGAGGAAAACCUCUUCCAGAGUGCUCAGGACCUCAGACUGGGCCCAAGGUUCACCUUUCAACAGGACGACCCUAAGCACACAGCUAAAAUAACAAAGGAGUGGCUUCAGAACAACUCUGUGACCGUUCUUGACUGGCCCAGCCAGAGCCCUGACCUAAACCCAAUUGAGCAUCUCUGGAGAGACCUCAAAAUGUCUGUCCACCAACGUUCACCAUCCAACCUGACAGAACUGGAGAGGAUCUGCAAGGAAGAAUGGCAGAGGAUCCCCAAA